GCCAGACUCCUACGGGAGGCAGCAGUGGGGAAUAUUGCACAAUGGGGGGAACCCUGAUGCAGCGACGCCGCGUGAGCGAUGAAGUAUUUCGGUAUGUAAAGCUCUAUCAGCAGGGAAGAAAAUGACGGUACCUGACUAAGAAGCCCCGGCUAACUACGUGCCAGCAGCCGCGGUAAUACGUAGGGGGCGAGCGUUAUCCGGAUUCACUGGGUGUAAAGGGAGCGUAGACGGCCAUGCAAGCCAGGGGUGAAAGCCCGGGGCCCAACCCCGGGACUGCCCUUGGAACUGCAUGGCUGGAGUGCGGGAGGGGCAGGCGGAAUUCCUGGUGUAGCGGUGAAAUGCGUAGAUAUCAGGAGGAACACCGGCGGCGAAGGCGGCCUGCUGGACUGCAACUGACGUUGAGGCCCGAAAGCGUGGGGAGCAAACAGGAUUAGAUACCCUUGUAAA
rnacentral:rRNA from 1 species